rnacentral:rRNA from 1 species
UGGGGAAUUUUGGACAAUGGGGGAAACCCUGAUCCAGCCAUCCCGCGUGUGCGAUGAAGGCCUUCGGGUUGUAAAGCACUUUUGGCAGGAAAGAAACGUCAUGGGUUAAUACCCCGUGAAACUGACGGUACCUGCAGAAUAAGCACCGGCUAACUACGUGCCAGCAGCCGCGGUAAUACGUAGGGUGCAAGCGUUAAUCGGAAUUACUGGGCGUAAAGCGUGCGCAGGCGGUUCGGAAAGAAAGAUGUGAAAUCCCAGAGCUCAACUGUGGAACUGCAUUUUUAACUACCGGGCUAGAGUGUGUCAGAGGGAGGUGGAAUUCCGCGUGUAGCAGUGAAAUGCGUAGAUAUGCGGAGGAACACCGAUGGCGAAGGCAGACUCCUGGGAUAACACUGACGCUCAUGCACGAAAGCGUGGGGAGCAAACAGG